UGCAGACUUACUGACAUCCAAAAUAUUGUAUAGAAUGUGUGCUUAACCUUCAUUCUGUUAUGGAUAUAUAGAGUCAGUUGAUGAUAAAUGGUGCCUAUGAGACCAAAAUUGUCUUCAAACACAGAAUGGGACGAGCCAGCGGCAUAUGGAAAGAAUCACGAGCACAGAUCUCCUCGGCCAAAACGCCCUUCUGGUGGGGAGUGCUCUAGGGGCCAGUCAGAGAUAAAAUGCCAGAAAACACAUCAAUAUCCUCUGUUCCCUCUUAAAAAAGAUGGCCAUGUAACUACACCCUACCCAAAACAAGUUAAGAAAGAGUGUGAACAAUGAAACUAAGGAGGAAGGUGUUGACUUUGGAGCAGUCUGUCUCCUGUUGGGGAUGGUCACACAUCCUCGGAUUCACCUCUGUAAGCUACAGCCCUCUGUCAGUGUGCCAGGAGAAACACACAGUGUCUCCAGAGCUGAGACUGAAGCUUUGUAUUGCUAUGCCUCAGUGGAAGAUUUUGAAAAUUCCCACCGCUGCUGAGACAAUAUGUUCUUCCUAAAUCUCGCAUGUCCUCUCUUUUGUGACAUGCAGGCAAUAUACGGCCAGCGCAUCCCUUCUGUCUCCCAUCACUUCUUUUGCUCUAGCUCAUGUAUUCCUGUGGCAUUCACCAUUUUAACACUUAGUGCAAGGGAACCCAAAUACUAUCAUGCCUUUUCACUCAUGUCCAUCAGGAGGAUAUAGAUCCCAAGCUAUGCUAGCUCAAAUCCAACAUAAAUCCAGUGAGGGCCCAUGGAAGGAUAACAUUUAUAGGGUACUACUAGUUGGUUACUAGAAGGUAAGGAUUAGUUUGAGCAAUGAAUACUGCUUGAAUAGUUAAUGCUUCUCUUCCUGUGCUGACUUGAAUCUUGACUCACACUUCUGCAGAGCUGCUGUCACCACAUAGCUGUAGAAGAGCAGCUACCACAGCAGGGAGCAGUGCCCCAUCCUGCUCCAUCUCGCUGCUCUGGGCAGAUGCCGCAGUCCUGGAAAAGCCCACAUUCCUGUCCUCUGACCUAUUCACAGUGAUAGCAAUCCUGGAACCUAGUCUGCAAGGUGUACCACGUGGCAGCUGCUGCAUGGAGGUACGGGAAAUGCAUCUGCCUGAGCAAAAAGAGGAUAUAAAUUGCAGGUGGGUCUGAAAAGGAGACCUUGGGGUCUCAACUCUAGAAUCUCUCCUACAGUGAGAACAAUAACUUCUGUCCCCCAGAAAGAGUGUGGUACAGAGAAGACAGAGUAAUCUGUAGGGAUGACAACUCACAUCCAGAGGAAGUUAAUCCAGGAGGUGGUCAUCAAAACACCAGUUACUCGGGCCGUUCUAGUAAUCAGAUGGACAACUGUCAUGUCCUAGUAUGUCUUAAGGAGCAGCCCCAGAACCAUGCAGCCAAAUGAAGCUGCCAGUCUGAACUACAGCUCAGACAUAUGCUCAAACAGACUGCAGAAGCCCAAGAAUGUAAUUUUUACCUACACCUAAUUACACCUUUUUCAUAGGCCCUCUCCUUCCUAAAUUCUUCUCAAGGAAGAAUUAAUUACCUAAAAGAUACGUAAGAAUCUGGGGAAAAAAAAAAUAAGAGUAACUAUUUUAGCACUUCUUGACACAACUAGAUGUGAAACUCUUCCUUCUGAUUGAGAGUGGGUCUGGAUUACUUUUUUUCUUUUUUACAGCAAACAGGGUGGUACACAAAGGAUCGUGCUCCUCUCAGCAUCAACUUUCAAGAAGAUAAGUCCAGUGAAGGUGAAAAGCUGUGUGUCACUGCUGGUCCAGAUGAAGAUAAAUGCAUUCAGCAAGUUAGUCACUGUUAAAAUGAGUAUUAGUACAACUGACAUAAUUUAAGCAAUUCACUCAUCCACUCACUCCUCCAACUGUAAGCAGCUUAUACAGUAAGAACAACUUAAAAAAAAAAAAGACA